CAGUAGCCGCGGGAAUACGUAGGGUGCGAGCGUUGUCCGGAAUUACUGGGCGUAAAGAGCUCGUAGGCGGUUUGUCGCGUCGUCUGUGAAAUUCUGCAGCUUAACUGUAGGCGUGCAGGCGAUACGGGCAGACUUGAGUACUACAGGGGAGACUGGAAUUCCUGGUGUAGCGGUGAAAUGCGCAGAUAUCAGGAGGAACACCGGUGGCGAAGGCGGGUCUCUGGGUAGUAACUGACGCUGAGGAGCGAAAGCGUGGGUAGCGAACAGGAUUAGAUACCCCUGUAGUCCCUGUCUCUUAUAC
rnacentral:rRNA from 1 species